ensembl:lncRNA
CCUCAGAUUUCCACGGUCAGAAUUUUCACCAAUUUCUCUCGAGUGUCGCCUUAGUCUCUCCGUAUAUACCGAGAGACCUACAUAGAGAUAGGUAAAUAGAGCUUUUUUGCAAAAUUCACACCGCAUUGCCCCGGUUUGAUUGUUUUGUUUUUAAUGUCUUAAGCCCUUUCCCCAGGAUGGUCCAUAAAUGUUUGCUGAAGGCCUACCACGAGCGAGCGGGGCAUUGUCCAGGUGCUGGGGACAUGGGGAUGGUUGAGCAAAGCCUGGCCUUCAUUCCCUGGGGGCGGGGGACAGCGUGGACACGGGGCGCACCCUGAUUUAUCUGCAGUAGCCCCGCAAAAUGAGCUGCUUCCCUCUGGAAAGGGAUGCCGGGGCAAGGCACACCUGCUCAAGCGCGCAGAUUGGCCCCGGCCGUGGAAUGACGGUGGACCCCGGCGGGGAAGGCGUGGAGGAGACGGACCCACAGUGGCAGACACCUCAAGGGCGGAGGAACUGUCCUGAGCCGUUUUGCACGUUUUCCUUCACUAAUUCUGCAAGAUCUCCAAAAAAGCUGAAAAGUGGACAGAAACCCACGACGAAUGGCAGCCAGCUGUGGUGUGAGGGACUUAGGUCAGCAGAAGGCCGUGGGUCUCUGGGGACAGUGACACCAUCUCACUCCUUGAGUCCUGCUCGGGUGGGAUUGGAGAAGGAGGUGGACGCUGGUCAUACCAGUGACACUCGCUUACUUCUGGAAAGUGAUAAGAAAUCACAGAAGAGCGACAGUCUCUCACUGCCAAACGCCCUGCAGCCUGCAGAGAGCAUCCCGACCCCAGGUAAGGGACCCCACCAGAGAUGCGCCUCCCGCCUGAGCGGCUUCUCUCUCAUCCUAUGGCCCUGCCCUGAACAAGGCCCCAUCCUGCCUCACCUGGACAACCCCGCCCACAAACUCUCACCUGGACAACCCCGCCCACAAACUCUCACCUGGACAACCCCGCCCACAAACUCUUACCCCAAAAGAGUGGCUACUGGGAAGUAG